UACGUAGGUGACAAGCGUUGUCCGGAUUUACUGGGCGUAAAGAGCGCGCAGGCGGUCGAUCAAGUCGAGUGUGAAAGCCCCCGGCUCAACUGGGGAGGGUCAUUCGAAACUGGUCGACUCGAAGGCAGGAGAGGGUAGUGGAAUUCCCGGUGUAGUGGUGAAAUGCGUAGAUAUCGGGAGGAACACCGGUGGCGAAGGCGGCGUUCUGGACUGCAACUGACACUGAGGAACGAAAGCCAGGGGAGCAAACGGG
rnacentral:rRNA from 1 species